GACGAACGCUGGCGGCGUGCUUAACACAUGCAAGUCGAACGGAAAGGCCCUGCUUGCAGGGUACUCGAGUGGCGAACGGGUGAGUAACACGUGGGUGAUCUGCCCUGCACUUCGGGAUAAGCUUGGGAAACUGGGUCUAAUACCGGAUAGGAACCAUCUUUAGUGUGGUGGUUGGAAAGUUUUUUCGGUGUAGGAUGAGCUCGCGGCCUAUCAGCUUGUUGGUGGGGUAAUGGCCUACCAAGGCGGCGACGGGUAGCCGGCCUGAGAGGGUGUACGGCCACAUUGGGACUGAGAUACGGCCCAGACUCCUACGGGAGGCAGCAAUGGGGAAUAUUGCACAAUGGGCGCAAGCCUGAUGCAGCGACGCCGCGUGGGGGAUGAAGGCCUUCGGGUUGUAAACUCCUGUCGCUAGGGACGAAGCUUUGUUGUGACGGUACCUAGAGAAGAAGCACCGGCUAACUACGUG
rnacentral:rRNA from 1 species